AGUAUGUGAUGACAUCACUUAUGCGUGUCAUCUGAUUGGCUGUGGACAAUGUGUUACAUGGUCUCAGCUGGUGUUUUAUUGGUUGUUACUGUGGGACAUUGUGUUCCAAGGCCAAAGUGAUAACGCUUAUACUCUGAUGCU